rnacentral:piRNA from 1 species
UGGUUGAGAAACUUCUGGAAAUAUCUGG